GACGAACGCUGGCGGCGUGCUUAACACAUGCAAGUCGAGCGGUAAGGCCCUUUCGGGGGUACACGAGCGGCGAACGGGUGAGUAACACGUGGGUGACCUGCCCUCAGCUCUGGGAUAAGCCUGGGAAACCGGGUCUAAUACUGGAUAUGACUCCAUGACGCAUGUUGUGGGGUGGAAGGCCUUGUGCGGCUGAGGAUGGGCCCGCGGCCUAUCAGCUUGUUGGUGGGGUGANGGGCCUACCAAGGCGACGACGGGUAGCCGGCCUGAGAGGGCGACCGGCCACACUGGGACUGAGGCACGGCCCAGACUCCUACGGGAGGCAGCAGUGGGGAAUCUUGCGCAAUGGGCGAAAGCCUGACGCAGCGACGCCGCGUGAGGGAUGACGGCCUCGG
rnacentral:rRNA from 1 species